rnacentral:rRNA from 1 species
AGUGAACGCUGGCGGUAGGCCUAACACAUGCAAGUCGAACGGCAGCACAGUAAGAGCUUGCUCUUACGGGUGGCGAGUGGCGGACGGGUGAGGAAUACAUCGGAAUCUACUUUUUCGUGGGGGAGAACGUAGGGAAACUUACGCUAAUACCGCAUACGAACUACGGGUGAAAGCAGGGGAUCUUCGGACCUUGCGCGAUUGAAUGAGCCGAUGUCGGAUUAGCUAGUUGGCGGGGUAAAGGCCCACCAAGGCGACGAUCCGUAGCUGGUCUGAGAGGAUGAUCAGCCACACUGGAACUGAGACACGGUCCAGACUCCUACGGGAGGCAGCAGUGGGGAAUAUUGGACAAUGGGCGCAAGCCUGAUCCAGCCAUACCGCGUGGGUGAAGAAGGCCUUCGGGUUGUAAAGCCCUUUUGUUGGGAAAGAAAAGCAGCAGGUUAAUACCCCGCUGUUCUGACGGUACCCAAAGAAUAAGCACCGGCUAACUUCGUG